AGGUAGUAAUAAAUAAACCUAUUUAUUUUGGCGGCAUUUCAUCUAUUCAGAGGAACUUGUUAUUAAUCGAUUUUCCCCGUUAAUUUUUACUUUAAAUUAAAAUUUAUAUACCUCCAUUAAAGAAUUUAUUUCUAAAUAUAUUCUUAAUAAAAAUUAAUAACUUAGGUCAAGGUGUAAUCCAUAUUAAAGUUUAAAUGAGUUACUUUAAAUAAAAUUUAAGGAAUAAAUUAUAAUAAUUUUUAACAAAAAGGAUUUGAAAGUAAUAUUAUAAUAAUAUUUUAAUAUGAUUAAGAUAAUAAAUGUGC
rnacentral:rRNA from 1 species